GAGUUUGAUCCUGGCUCAGAUUGAACGCUGGCGGCAUGCCUUACACAUGCAAGUCGAACGGCAGCAUGAUCUAGCUUGCUAGAUUGAUGGCGAGUGGCGAACGGGUGAGUAAUACAUCGGAACGUGGCCCUGUAGUGGGGGAUAACUAGUCGAAAGAUUAGCUAAUACCGCAAUACGACCUGAGGUGAAAGUGGGGGACCGCAAGGCCUCAUGCUAUAGGAGCGGCCGAUGUCUGAUUAGCGUAGUUGGUGGGGUAAAGGCCCGACCAAGGCGACGAUCAGUAGCUGGUCUGAGA
rnacentral:rRNA from 1 species